UACGUAGGGGGCGAGCGUUAUCCGGAAUUAUUGGGCGUAAAGGGUUCGCAGGCGGCCUUGUAAGUCAGAUGUGAAAGACAGGGGCUUAACCGUUGUAAGCAUUUGAAACUGCAGGGCUUGAGUACAGGAGAGGAAAGCGGAAUUCCUAGUGUAGCGGUGAAAUGCGUAGAUAUUAGGAGGAACACCAGUGGCGAAGGCGGCUUUCUGGACUGAUACUGACGCUGAGGAACGAAAGCGUGGGGAGCAAACAGGAUUAGAUACCCUGGUAGUCCCUGA
rnacentral:rRNA from 1 species